AUUGAACGCUGGCGGCAUGCCUUACCCAUGCAAGUCGAACGGUAACGGGCCUUCGGGUGCCGACGAGUGGCGAACGGGUGAGUAAUACAUCGGAACGUGCCCGAUCGUGGGGGAUAACGAGGCGAAAGCUUUGCUAAUACCGCAUACGAUCUACGGAUGAAAGCAGGGGACCGCAAGGCCUUGCGCGGACGGAGCGGCCGAUGGCAGAUUAGGUAGUUGGUGGGAUAAAAGCUUACCAAGCCGACGAUCUGUAGCUGGCCUGAGAGGAUGAUCAGCCACACUGGGACUGAGACACGGCCCAGACUCCUACGGGAGGCAGCAGUGGGGAAUUUUGGACAAUGGGCGCAAGCCUGAUCCAGCCAUGCCGCGUGCAGGAUGAAGGCCUUCGGGUUGUAAACUGCUUUUGUACGGAACGAAAAGCCUUCUUUUAAUACAGGAGGGUCAUGACGGUACCGUAAGAAUAAGCACCGGCUAACUACGUG
rnacentral:rRNA from 1 species